GCUGGGAUACCCGGUGCGGAAGGGGCCUGGCCCGGCCCGGUCAGAAACAAAAGCGGGCGGCGGCGCGGUGGACCCGGCAUGGCGGCGCGAUGGGCUCUGCUCCUGCUGCUCCCUCUGCUUUCGUUGCCGCAGGUGUACUGUGAGUACGGAAUGGUCCAUGUCCUUUCAGAGAAAGGGAGCAGCAAAGGCAAGGACUACUGUAUCCUCUUCAACUCCCAGUGGGCCCAUCUGCCACAUGAUCUGGGUAAAGCUUCACUCUUGCAACUGCAGGAUCAGACGGCAUCUGUUUUGUGUUCUCCUUCUGAUGUACCUGAUGGGGGUUUUAAUAACCGAAUCCCCAUGGUGAUGCGAGGGAACUGCACCUUCUAUGAGAAAGUGAGGCUUGCUCAGAUAAAUGGAGCUCGUGGGCUGCUGAUUGUUAGCAGAGAGAGACUGGUCCCUCCAGGGGGUAACAGGAGCCAAUAUGAAGAGAUUGAUAUUCCCGUUGCACUGCUGAGCUAUUCUGAUAUGUUAGAUAUUGUCAAGAGUUUUGGGAGGUCAGUGAAGGGAGCAAUGUAUGCACCAAAUGAGCCUGUGCUUGAUUACAACAUGGUCAUUAUAUUUGUCAUGGCUGUGGGGACUGUGGCAAUUGGAGGCUACUGGGCAGGAAGCAGAGAUGUGAAAAAGCGAUACAUGAAGCACAAACGUGAUGAUGGGGCGGAGAAACAUGAUGAUGAAACAGUUGAUGUGACUCCAAUAAUGAUCUGUGUGUUUGUAGUGAUGUGCUGCUCAAUGCUGGUCCUCCUUUAUUUCUUCUAUGAUCACUUAGUCUAUGUUAUCAUAGGAAUAUUCUGCCUGGCUGCCUCAAUUGGCCUUUACAGUUGUCUGUCUCCCUUUGUAAGAAGAUUCCCAUUGGGAAAGUGUAGAAUCCCAGACAACAACUUGCCUUAUUUCCACAAGCGUCCACAGGUCCGGAUGUUGUUGUUAGCUGUGUUCUGUAUCUCUGUCAGUGUAGUCUGGGGAGUCUUCAGAAAUGAAGAUCAAUGGGCCUGGGUUCUGCAAGAUGCUUUAGGAAUUGCUUUCUGUCUUUACAUGCUGAAAACAAUUCGCCUGCCUACAUUUAAGGGUUGUACCUUGCUCCUCCUCGUUCUUUUUGUCUAUGAUGUAUUCUUUGUAUUUAUCACACCAUUUCUAACAAAGACUGGGGAGAGUAUAAUGGUGGAAGUGGCUGCAGGCCCAUCUGAUUCUGCCACUCAUGAGAAGCUCCCAAUGGUCCUGAAGGUCCCACGACUGAACUCCUCCCCACUGGCUCUGUGUGACAGACCUUUUUCUCUCCUAGGAUUUGGAGACAUUUUAGUUCCAGGUUUACUGGUGGCCUAUUGCCAUAGAUUUGAUAUUCAGGUGCAAUCAUCCAGAGUAUAUUUUGUAGCCUGCACAAUAGCAUAUGGCAUAGGCCUUCUUGUGACCUUUGUCGCCUUGGCACUGAUGCAGAUGGGUCAGCCAGCUCUGCUCUACUUGGUACCCUGCACUCUAAUCACCAGCUUUGCUGUGGCUCUUUGGAGAAAGGAGCUUGCAAUGUUCUGGACGGGCAGCGGCUUUGCGAAAGACCUACCUCAGCCUCCCUUGGUGAUAGCUUCUGUCAACUGCCCUCAGCUUCCUAAAGAUAGCAACGUACCAGCUGCUCAACAAGAGACAGAGGAAAUGGCCAACCCUACCCUCCAUGUGAAGGAGCUGCACAGCCCUACCUUGGCUGCAGAGGAGCCAGCUGAUAACGACACAAAGACGGAACAGUCAGAAGUUUCUAUCACAAAGAGUGAGGAAACACUUGGGCACAAGGAUGACCUGGAAAGUAAAUCUCUAAACCUCGAGCAAAAACAGCUGGAAUAAACAAUUUGAUAGGAACUCCGUAUUUUCCCUUACAAACGUUUGUGUAAAACCAGUAUGUAUUUAGACUGGUUCUGUAGUAUUCACGUUCAUUGAGGAACCUCGGUGGGAGUCUGAUCAUCAAAUCCAACAAAGAAUGUUCUGCCUCCAGCUUUGGUACAGCUAUAUACUUCAAACAUAUUUGAAAUAUGGUGCUCUACAAGGGUUCUGAUGUAUGGAUUUCAAUUAUCAUUUUAUUAGUGAAUGCCUUUGACUGAUCCAUUUUAAUUAUACCAGGGUAGUAUUACGAGUCUUUAUUUACACAGUACUCUGUGCUUUGUGGCUAUUUUUGCUGCUUUAGCAUAGUGCAGGUUAACGUGGAAGAAAAGCAUUGAACAAGUCUGCUACAAUGCUUAGCUGAAAGAAACACAAGAGGACUUUAGCACUUUCCCUAUUGUCAUCUUUUACUUUUUCUACUUGUCAAAGCCAUUGAUGCAAGGGAAUGCUUUAGUAUAAGCUGACAUUCAGGAAAUGCAGAGAGUGGUUAAAUUGCCAGCCUCUGAAAGGAUUUAUACUACCAAGGUGCAUUAAAUGCAUCUCUUAAACUUCUUUCUUUUUACUUCCAGGUACCUGUGUUGGCUACUAGUCUAGUUUAAAAGGUAGGAUGAAUGGAGCUCCAAGAAGCUCACUAAGCACUCCAUGAACUCCAGGGAUUGUCUCUGAAAAGGUGUUUGUGACAGAGCACCCCUGGUAGAAUAAGGAUAUUAAGAAUGUUUGCGUUAGAAAUGAAAUUCGAGCCAGAUAAAUAAGCAAACAGGGAGUGACGUUAAACUAAGCUUGCUUAUUUUCAUUGGGGAAAAUGUUACAGUAAAACAGCAAAAAAAAAAGUAAAACCUCAAGAGCCCAAACUGAUGAAUUUUAAGGAACAUAGUUGUGGUCACUAACUGAAGAAAAGUCUGAUGUUUUCAUUCUCAAGGGAACACUCGGUGCUAUUGUAGGUUGUGAUUUAGAGCUACUUGCUGCUUAGUAGCCAAUCAGCUGCCUCAAAUAAUGUUUUGUCUUCAUCCCAGGAGUAUCCCAGAAGCAUGGCCUGUCAGGCUCUGGAAAGAGGCUGUGAUCUAUUUUGCCCCUCUUGCUAAGUGACAUGGCAGAGGACACAGUUUGUAAGUGUAAAACUAUUUGGGGUGCAGGUGGUCUUAAUUUAUAUUCCUGAAAUUAGACAUUUUCUUGUACGUGAUUGAGUCUUUUAUGCAUCUUUUAUGGGGAGAUGAUGAGAUUUGUGUACCAUUUGUUCUAUAUACGAACAUAUGGCUUUAUCAUAAGCAUUUGUGUUUUACAUUUAAAUUGUAGUGCCCUAAUGCCUCAAACACUUCAUGUUAAAACUGAGAAAGAAAACAAAAGUGUUCUAGGAUCCUGGAACACAUUUCUAAAUUGCAUGGGAGAAAUGCUUUUCAGAGCAUUUGAGUCUAAAGCAUCAUUUACAAAAGCAUCAGCAUUUUGUCCCAGUCUGAGGCAAUGAUUUUAAAUUAAGAGUCUCCAGUUGGCGUGUUGAGUUGAAUUCCAAAAGGUUCUCCUUUAAUGUCUGUCUGUUAAACUUCAGCCUUCAUCUCUUUGGCUGGGUCUUCCAGAAGUUUGCCCUGUGGUUUUCUUUUUUGGAUGCUCAUUUCUCAUCUGUUUAGCAUUGGGUGGGUAAUAUUCUUUCUCUGGAAUGUGGAAAGAUUUCUGUAAAACUACAAUGUGCAAUCAGAAGUUUUGCCCUCUUCUUAAAGCCCUGCCUGAUAGGUUGAUUUCAUAGCAUAAGUCCCAAGUCCUGCACUGCAUUUAAUUUAUGAACGACCCAAAUGGAAGAUAGUAGUAUUAAAGACAUCUGGGUUACUUUUGUUCUUGUUUUCUUCAGUCUCCUCUUUGAUGGAUUAUGUCUGCCAGUGGUAAUCUGAAUUUCAACUAACUAAAAAGCAACGGAGGCAUUUAACUGAAAAUAUCAGCCAGCUGGAUUAUGCCUUAAUUUAAACCAUUGUAUAAGUUUAUAUAUAAAGAAAACAAUUCUGUGUUUCAAUAAUGAACUUGACAAACAGUGAUAAAAGUUUGGAGAACGGCUCCAAGUUCUAUGGUUUUUUUUUUGCUUUGAUUGUUUUUCAGUCAUAAUACUGUAGGGAGUAAUUUUUGUACACCGAGGUCAGUAGUUUUCUGAUGAUGAAGCAUUAAGUUUUAUCACCUUCUUGAAAAUGUAUUUUAACAUUUGUUCUCAUGUGGGUUAGGAAGCAGUUUAUUUCUCAAAUUGUUUAUAACUCGAUGAAAGUGGAAGAUUUAUAACACUGAUUAAGUUGUGUACACCUGGUAGUUGCUUUAUGUUUCAUUCUAGAUGGGUCUGCAUAUGCUUCACCUUCAUGUUUUGGAUGGUUGUCCAUCUACUUAAGUGUAAGUUUGUUGUGUGUGUUUUUCUUCUUCUCAAACUACGAAUAUCAGAGUGGGGGAAAAAAAUAGUUACUCAGUGCAAUAUCUCCAGUUAAAGUAUAUAAACAGUUACAUACUUUGACUAUUGCAGUACUGUACACCUUUGGUGCACCAGUUUGGCUGCGACUGUUUGGACCCUGUUCAAUCACUCCCAUCAAACCAAGGUUGUGCUUUCCUGUCUUUCCCCGAAUGUAAAAUUUAAUGUUGUACAGGAAAUUGUCAAACUAUGUUCAGUGUAGUUCAUUCUGAUUUUAUUUGAUGAUUGCAGAUGUACAUCCCACACUAAACUUGAGUUAAAAGGCUGCUUUUGGAGUAAUGUUAAAGUGCUUCGUUUUUAAUGCUUUGGAUUGCCUGAGCAGCAAGGGACAGAUUCUUUCCUGGGUCAGAAGUUACUAACCGUGAGUCAAUGCAUUGGACUGACUGGGUUUGACUUGUAUCCUCCUGAAGGGUUGCACAAAUGCAGCUGAAACCAGAAUGUGACAUCAAGGAUCCUCAUGGGAAUGGCAAGGGAGAAGUACCCCAAAUCCUCUGUUAAUUUACAGGUUGUAGGUCCUCCUGAAAUACCCACAUCAGCUCCCUGGUUCUGUCUGGGUGCGUUCUUCCCACUGUAUUCCCAUGCAGUUCCAUGGUUUUGAGGUCAGCCCUUCAUCUGUCUGAUCUGCAGCCUCGUGUCUGGCUGCACAGCGAAUCAUCCCAGCUAUUUUUGUGUGUGCAAAUGCAUUGCAAGACAUCACGUUUCCAGUCACCAAAUGUAGGUUUGUUUCUUCCUUCUGUGAUUUAAAACAUGGGGGGAGGAAAAGAAAACUACAACCCCACCUAUUGUGUAAUUAGCACUGGGGGGAGAUGUGAGGACAAGAGCUGAUUCGUAUCCCAGGGGUUUCACUGGGGUGCUCUUGCUGUCUUUUCCAUGGGGUUUUCCAUGUUUGCCUGUUUGGGGCACACACCUAUAUGGUAAAAGAAAACAAACUUGAAAAAGACUGAUCCGCUGAAAUUGCUGUGUUGUUUGUUUUUGGUUUUUUUUUUCAUCUGUUUUGCUUAAGAAAAAAAAAAAAAGGACUUUAGCCUGUUUUAGUUAAAAAAUGUAAAGAUUUUCUAAACCUGUAAAAUAAAGAUACUUAAUUUUUGAACUGAAUUUUGAGUUUUGUAUCACUGUUACAUUUGAAAUCCGAUUGUGUGCUUUUUCUUCUUUGCACUAAAUGUGACAAAGUGCUUCUUAUGAUGUAAGACACCUUGAACUGCUCACACAUUGAAGUGCCCAAGGAAACCUGAGUUGAAUAUCCAUACAAAACUCCUAAAACUUAUUUGUGGCCUUCUUGAGUCUUCUGUUCACAUGCAGGACUCGAAACAAAUCCUGAAACAGUCAACAGGAAUCUCUCUCUUCCUGCUGCCAGUUCUCCCCUAGUGGGAUCGUGGUACAGACAGGACCAACCAGCUCUGGGGCUGUUCCAGUGAUGGGAAGGGAAGGUGAGCACUAACAAACCCUCUGUUACUGCAAGUCUCUAAGGAAUCAGAGGGCACGGCAUGGAGGUAUGGCACGAACAGGGUGGGUGUAUUUCCACUCUACUCUUGUGUUCAUGUUGUUGGUAUGUCCCACUGAACCACAGGGGGUAGAAAGGACCUUGAGGCUGAAUGCAAGCCCCUGCUAAAGCAGUUCCCUACAAUAGGUCACACAGGUAGGCGUCCAGAUGGGUCUUGAAUAUCUCCAGAGAAGGAGAAUUCAUAACCUCUCUGGGCAGCCUAUUCCUGUGCUGCAUCACCCUUACAGUAAAGACAUUCUUCCACAUGUUUGUGUGGCACUUCUUUGUUCAAGCUUUAGGCCAUUACUCCUUGUUCUAUUCUAUUAUAUUCUUUUAUUGUAAUUCUAUCAUAAUAGAAUUAUUCAUAAAAUUAUAGAAUUGUUUGAGUUUAAAGGGAACCUUAAAGGCCAUCUUAUCUCACUUCCUUCACUGAGCGGAGACAUUACAGCUUCUCAGCUGCCCAGAGCCUCCAGCCUGAGGAAAGAAUGAAAAACUUGUGUGGUUUUAACGUUUGUAUCACUCUAUCUGAUGCAUGCAUAAGUAGGCACCAAGGACCUGUCCUGCGGGACUAUUUCUUCACCUGCAGGCCGUUUCUGUCAACUGUUCACCUGCCUUCCUCAAUUUGCAAGAAUCACCUCGGGGUGAUUCACCUCUGGAAGGAAAGGCUGCAUUCUCCAGCAGUGAUACUCAACUGAUGGAAGCACAGGAACUGGUUUGCAGAGAUGCUGCCUGCCUGCAGGCUGUCCUCAGGGCCACUCUGAAACUCCCACUGCAGAGCUCCUGCACAACCACGUGAGGACCUUCACUCCAUUGCCCAGUUGCAAACAGGUUUGUUGUCUCACACCACUGCAUUUUCUUUGUACACGUGAGUAAGUGGGGACCCCCGGCCCACCCAGGGCCACGAUGAAUUGCACUGAGUGUGCAUGAACAGCCCUGAUCCUCAGCUACGCCACAGCUGUACCUAGAAGACAAAGCUGAGUUUAUAUUUAUACUCCACUGAUGCCCAGGUUGUUUUCUGUCUCCCUUUUCAGUUGUUAUCGCAGCAUCAUAGAAUGGCUUGGGUUGGAAGGGACCUCAAGGAUCAUGAAGCUCCAAU